rnacentral:rRNA from 1 species
GAUGAACGCUAGCGGCAGGCCUAAUACAUGCAAGUCGAACGGUGUCUUCGGACAUAGUGGCGCACGGGUGCGUAACACGUAUGCAACCUACCUUACAUUGGGGGAUAGCCUUUCGAAAGGGAGAUUAAUACCGCAUAAGACAGUAGCUGGGCAUCCAGCAGCUGUUAAAGAUUUAUCGAUGUAAGCUGGGCAUGCGUCCAAUUAGCUAGUUGGUGAGGUAACGGCUCACCAAGGCAAUGAUUGGUAGGGGAACUGAGAGGUCAAUCCCCCACACUGGCACUAAGAUACGGGCCUGACUCCUACGGGAGGCAGCAGUAGGGAAUAUUGGGCAAUGGACGCAAGUCUGACCCAGCCUUGCCGCGUGCAGGAUGAAGGCGUUAUGCGUUGUAAACUGCUUUUAUACAGGAAGAAACGACUCUUGCGAGAGGCAUUGACGGUACUGUAUGAAUAAGCACCGGCUAACUCCGUGCCAGCCGCCGCAGUAAUAC